AGCAUUCAGAAAAUGGGAGGUUAUUUUGUCUGUGACAAUAUUAUCAACAACAUGUUGACACUGGCUGGGUCUCAGUGUGUGUGGGUGCCCAGGAAGCCCUCAGCCAUGAACAACCUGGAAGAUUCCCAGCAUCUGGGGGAAUUCCAGAAGCUGAGUCCAGCUAGCACAGUGGGUGUGGAAGCAGGAAAGAGCCCUGCCUGGUUCCUGCCACGCAUCGAAUGGCUGGAGUUAAUGCUCCUACACUUACAUAUAUUGACCGUUUACCUCCCUCUGAUCCCAGCGCUAGAUCUAUGAGCAAGGAGAAAGGAAAAAGGAGUUCGGGUUUAAACUCUUAUCACUAAAGCGAGUCUCCCUCUACAUUAAAAAACUAUCCAGACCCUGUGGCAGGAAUGGGCUCUGUUCUUGGGGCAUAAAUUUGUGUGUGUGGAAAAAAGACUUAUUGGUGAAUUUAGCAGUAUUUUUCGUUGAACUGGCAGUUGCUAACCAUUACACCAGUAUUUAUUUGAUUCUUAAAGAGUACAAAACCAUGGACCACAAAUAAAGAAGAUGGAGUAAUAGUUUGUGGCUGGGCCACGAGCUUUAAACUUGAAAUGAAGUGUCCAGUUUUGAGUUACUGUGUCCAACCACCAUUUGUACAGUUUGAAAAGUGGGGGCAUUUUUCCAGGCUGUCAGUGUGACUGUAGUUCAUUCCCGUGAAUGAUAUCGCUGAAGGAGCAGUUGUUCUGCUGUGAGCACCUCACUCAUGACCAGAAUAUAUUAAAUGUAUUAAUCUGGGCCUCCCAGCAUAAUUUAGGAAGGCCCUCUAUUUGACACAUUCCUGUACAUCCUUGUUUUAUUGCUUGCUCUGGCAGGUAACAAUGUCUCAAAAGUCUUGCUCCUGAAUGAAGUUAAAAUUACAUGUCACCCAAUAGCAUAUGCAGUUGAGUGGCUUAUUUGCUGUCAAAAUUACCACCCUGCAACAACAUGAGACGUUAAUGGGGACGUAGCAUGAUUUACCUCGCUGGCCCUGGGAUGGGAGGGGAGGGCAGACUCCUGUAUCCAAGUAGCCAUGUGCUAGGGGAAGCUGUGAAUGUCUCCACCCGUUGGCUCUGCCUUUAAUACCCAAACCGUGUCCCUGAGCAUGGGAGAUGAGAGUGGGUGGUGUUUGGAUACCCUCCCAAAUAAUUGCUAAACUUGUUUUAAGUCUGCAUGGGAAAAAAAAGUCUGUUUCAAGUAGGUUAGUUCUCCACCAACAACAGGAUUUAUAAUCUGUUUUCCAGUUAAGCUGGAAACUGUUGUCUCUUAAGAAUAUGCCCAAGACUUGACCUAGGAAUGUCUGAUUUUAAGGGUGCAGGGAGCAGCCUAGAUUUACAAUUUGACACAGUAUUUUUCUACUCUGCCAAACCAGAGUCGUCUUUGGAAUGUUUAUGAGCUCAGGUAGCAAGAGAAAGCCGCAAAGCCGAGGUGUACCUUUAAUGACAUUAGGGAUUAUCUACUUGAGAAGCAUGUCAUACGUAGUUUAAAACCUCCUAGGAAAGAAGGAGAACAAAUGGCCGAUAAGUAUAUGAAAAGAUGUUCAACACUAGCAAUUAGGGAAAUGCAAGUCAAAACUGAACUGAGAUCUCACCCAGUCAGAAUAUCUAUCGUCAAGAAUAUAAAAAACAAUAAAUACUGGGGAAGAUGUUGCGGGGUGGAGGGGGGCAUUUUCCCAUUGCUAGUGGGAAUAUGAAUUGGUACAGCCACUAUGGAAAUCAGUAUGACGAUUCCUCAAAAAACUAUAACUAGAGUUACUAUUUGAUCCAGCUGUAUUAGUCCUUGGUAUAUACUUGAAGGAAUUAAAGACAGCAUACUAAUAACAAUGUUCACUGCAACAUAAUUCAAAAUAGCCAAGAUACAGAGCCAGCCUAAGUGCCCAUCAACAGAUGAAUGGAUAAAGAAAAUGUAGUACAUAUACAUAAUGGAGUUUUAUUCAGUCGUAAAGAAGAAUGAAAUUUUGUUACUUGCAGGAAAAUGGAUGGAACUGGAGACCAUCGUGUUGAACAAAAUAAGCCAAACUUAGACAAAUAUCAUAUCUUCUCCCUAAAAUGUGGAAUCUAAAAAAGAAGGGAAACUAAUAGACAAGAGGAAGGGAAUAAGGAGGAGAGGGUGUAAUGAAUGGUACUACUAAGGGUGGAUAUGAUCAAAAUAUGUGCAUUGAAACUCAAUAAUUUAUAAAAUUAACAGGCACUAAUAAUAAAAGAGAAAAAAUAAAUAAACCCACGUGGGUACAAAAAUUCAGUCCUGGGUGCUUUAGCUUUUCUGGGCCCUUCCUACUCACAUGUGCACAAUUAAAAGUAUGUUUUAUAACUUCAUUGGUACCAAGACAAAUAUAAUUCAUGCUAGAUUCAUGUUUAUGUAGUCAUUUCUAUAUAUUCAUUGUUUUCUGAUUUUAAAGAACUAGAAACUAAACAUUUUUGUGAGCCCUGGGCACUGGGCCUGCUAUACUUGAUCUAAGCUUCCAGCCAUUCGCCAGUGUUUUGUUUUGUUUCGUAGAGCUGGAGGUCAAAUCCAAGGCCUACUGAGUGCAAGACAAGUGCUGUAUGGCUAAGCUACACCCCAGCCAGGAGUCUCUUUGUUUCAAGGCCAAUAUAAUCUGACCCUGCCAGCUCAUGGAAAGGCUUAGGUGAAUGGUAUCUUGCUUCCCCAGCCUGGUCCAGUUGCUCCCCAGCCUCACUAUUGCUUGUCACCCCUGGGCAAGGUUGGACACAUUCUGCUUCCCCAGCCUUCUCCUUCUUUCAUUUAUUUCUCUUUAUUUUACGUAGAUAGGCCAGGGUGCUGCUGUGGUCUUUCCAGUGCAUUUGCAAGAUGGGGACAUCUCUGAACAUGGGAGCAGAAAGCUCUACCUGCAGCCAUGGAGGCCUGCAAUGAUGGCAAAGGGCAUUAAUGAUGAGCUCCUGCCCCUGACCCCGACCUCAUCAACCACCGCUCCUCUCCCCAGCCGGGGUCUGCAAUCCAGCCAGCUGCAGAGGAGUUUAAAGGGUAGCCGUCCCCAGUCAGCCAGCUGGCCAUUAAUAAUGUUUUCAUCCGUGACAAUGACAAACCUGCAGUACUUGUGGAGAGUUUAUUAAGAAAAGACAGUGAAAUGGAAGUCCCUAUGGUAAUCAAUUCUCAAUUGUGCAGAAGCAUCAACAAAUCAGAAUGGCCCAAUGGUCAGGCUAGUGAGUUCUCUUAAAUGUUCUACCUUCUGUUAGUUCCCACAUCUUGCAAGAUUCAAAUUCAAGCUAGAGAGCCUCAGGGUUGGACACAGAGUAUGAACAGUAUGGAAUUCCCACUCAGAGUCACAGGCAAGAAGGAAGGAAGACUUGGAGCCUCUGGUCUAAGGAUUCGGUUCUGCCAUUCUAUUCAGUUUAGUGAAUGUCUCGAGAGUAUGUCUUCUAAGCCAGGUCCUGGGCCAAGGGCACAGGGUAGGGGGAGGGAAGAGAUACAGUAACAACAAGCUGGCAUGGGACCAAUCGUGAGAUGUACAGUGAUGGCUAUGUCAGUAGUGUAGACCACCACUCCACCAUAAAGACCUCCACAGGGGAAAGGAAUUCCAGGAAGGCUUCACAGAGGAGGUAUCUCAGUGAAAUCGAGGCUUGAAGAACAAGUGGAGAAAUGUCAUAUGGGAAAGGAAAGGACAUGCUGGGUGCUAUGGGCUGAACUGUGUCCCCUUGAAAUUCAAACGCUGAAAUACUAACCUGCAAAUAGUAUCUUAGAAUGAGACUAUUUGGAGACAGUGUAAAGAGGUAAUUAAUUAAAAUGAAGUCACUGAGGUGGGCCUUCAUUCACUCUGACUGAUGUUCUUCUGAGAUGAGGAGAUCUGGGCACAGAGAUCUGAAUCACCUUUGUACAGGGAGAAGCCAAAGAGAGAGGCCUCAGAUGAAAUCAGCCUUGAGAACUUGAUCUCAAACUUCCAGCAUCUAGAAUGGUGAGAAAACAAAUACCUGCUGUUUGAGGGUGCCCAGCCUAUGGCUCUUUGUUAGUGAUAGUGAAAAAAAUAUACCAGGGACGCAAAGAGCUCCAACCAAGUUCUGGAAGUGACUGUGACUGAGUACUCAGAGAACUGUGUUGCUCUGAGGAGUUGGAGAAGCCUGAAGGAGACAGAAUCUGCUUGCCAGAGGCAUCUGGACCCCAGAGUUCUUGGCCCCUUCCAUUUACAAAUUUUUCUUUUCUUUCUUUUUUUUUUUUUGUACCUGGGAUCGAACUCGGGUCAUUGCGCUUGCGAGGCAGGCAGUGAAACCACUGAGCUAAAUCCUCAGCCCCCUUGGCCCCUUCCAGAUGGAUGCUUUCAUGGGCACCCCGUGGCAAGCUUUCCCCUUUCUGCUUCCACCUUCCCGGAGGAAGCUGGACACGCACUCUUUGCUUUGCUUCGGUGCAAACUCACAAGCAGAUCCCAGCUCAGAAUGCCAUUCUCCUUUCCUGGGUCUCCCCAGUCAGAACCAUUUAUACUCUAUUUACUUGAUGGAGUAAUGUCAACAGAUACUCUAAUGACUAGGGUUGCAUGUCUCCUCCAACAGUCUUGCUUCCUGGCCUUUCACACCUAAGACCCUCCCAGGUCUCUCUCAGUGGAUGACUACUGGGGGAAACUGAACUAAGCUCAAAGCCAAAGCCCAACUAGAAGAUGUUUUAGAAACAGUAAAGCCUCUGUGCUGUGGGAGUGUGUGAUAGGCUGAUUAAUGGCUCUUAAGCAUGUAAGGUCCUGAUCCCUGGAACCUGUAAAAUCUCCUUAUAUGGAAAAGGGUCUUUACUGAUGUGAUCUUGAGAUGGAGGGGUCACUUGGAUUAUCCUAGUGGGCUUGAAUGCAGUUACAUGCAUCCUUAUAAGCAGAGGGCAGAGAGAAUUUGACACACAUAGAGAUGCUGAUGUGAAGACGGAGUCAAGAUGGAGCAGCAGAUGCUGGUCCUGAAGACAAGAAUGAUACAACCACAAGCUAAGGAAAGCCAGCAGAAGCCAGAAAAGGCAAGGAAAGUAUAUUUCCUUAGCGUCUCUGAGAAAACAAGGCCUUCCUCACAUCCUGAUUCAGCCCUCGACUGACUUCAAAUCUUUGACCUCUGGAACUAUGAAAGAAUAAAUUCUUGUUUUAAGAUAUCAAGUUCCUGGUAAUCUGCUACAGAAGCCACUGGAAAUUCAUAUAGAGGUAGGUCAGGACCCUCCAUUAGGCCCCAACACCUGCUAGGUCUAGCCCUAUACAGUAUUAGCUUUUUGUUACUCUAAGGAAAUAUCUGAGAUAAUCAAUUUAAGGAGAGAGAAAGGUUUAACUUUGAAUCAUAGAGGUUUCUGUCCAUGGUUGGUUGGUCCUGCUCCUUUGGGGCCUGUAGCAAGACAGCACUUUACCUUAUGGCCAGGAAUGAAGAGGAAGAGGAGGCACUGGGGUCCCGCUCUCCCCUUCAGAGACUUGCCUCCAAUGGCCAGAAGAUUCCCAACAGCUCCAAGCUGGAGAUCAUGCCUUUCACAUGUGUGCCUUUGGAGGACAUUUCAGAUCCAAACUAGAGCAAUCUCUCUCUCUCUCUCUCUCUCUCUCUCUCUCUCUCUCUCUCUCUUCCUUAGUUUCCUGCCCUGUGCACUUGUGCAAUGGGAACAAUAGCCAACCUCAUCCUGUGCACUCUGCAGCUCUUUUUUCCAAAGCUCAGAGAAGGCCUGGUAUAUGCUGAUAUGCAUCGGGGUCAAGGGCACCCACAGGAUCAGGCUUGGGAGCUCCAGCAGCUGCCCCACAGGCAGCAGAACAUCACAACCUUGAGUCGACCUUGUUAUCUGAGAGCCCGAGGAGCCCCCACUGCCAUGUUCACUACAUAUUCUCACUUAUUGUGCCCAAUUGGAUGAUAAAUGCAGAGGCUGCAGGGACACUGGGCUGAAAAGGUCCUGCCAACUGAGAGAUGUAGCUCAGGCACCAUAAAUAAUUUCCUUCUUACUGGGGAUUUAGCUCAGUGGUGUCACCGCCUGCCUCGAAAGCUCAAGGUCCAGAGUUCAAUCCCCGGUACCAAAAAACAAAAACAAAAACAAAACAAAAAAAAUAAUUUCCCUCCCAAAGGCCUGGCUUUCUUGAAUGCGGAGAUCCUGGAGGGCUCUGCUGCCUGCCUCACAACUGACAGUGCUCAACAGGAAACCAGAAGUGGGGGAGAGAGGUCAUGCACUCCUGGUGUGCUAGCCCUCCUGGGGUUUGGGGGCAGGGCUUGGGUCCAGAGGGCCUCCAGGCAGGGCCUUGCUCCAGGGAGCAGGCUGCUCAGGAGCUGCUUACCUCCGGUCAGGGAGCAGUUCUAGGAGCUGCUCACCUGUAUGGCCCAGCAGUGCCCUCCCUUGAGGUCCUCUCCUGGGUCACUGUCACCCCCCUCCACCUUAAUCCCACUAACUUUCUGAGUCAUCCUCUAUCACUGCCAUCCUCACUUUUUGCACUGCACUUUUCACAGCCUGAAAUCACUCACUUUGUCCUUAUUUGUUGUAUGUGAUGGACAGAGGAGGCUGAGUCUUCACUGCUGUCUCUGUCAUAGAGAUCUCACUCAGAAAAUACUGAACGAGUGAAUGAAUGAGAGUGGGCCCAAGAGCCAGAAAGAUUUUCCACAGACUACAGAGGGGUGCUCAGAAUCAGUAUAGUAAAACCUCAGUGGGAAACUGGGGCCUCUCUCCGAGCACACAAAUGUGCCUGUCCUCCCGAGUUGGCAUCACUGCAUGGGUGUCCGGGACUCUCUAGAGAAGAUUCCAAAACCUUCAUGAAGCCUCUGAGGGGACUGAGGAGUGAGGAAGGUCCCUACCAUCAGAGAGAGCUCUGAUCCUGGCCCAAAGCCCAUGGCAGGAGACCCUCAGCCACCCUCUAAAGGAUACCCAGGUUAUGAUGGUGGCUGUAUCUGGGGUCAGACAGGCACCAGAGGGUGGCAGUGGGAGAGAUGAACAGGGGAUCUCGUGUGAAUUUCACUGAUUAGUCACAGCAUUCUAAUUAAAGGCCACAAAGCAAGGCCUCAGGCUUCUUUCAAAGAACGGGGGCCAUAUUCAUCUCACAGCCCUGUCGUCACUAGUGAUGCCCAGCCAUCUGAGGGCUGGAGAUUGAGUCCAAAGCUUACCACGCUUCCCUUACUCUUUUGGAGCUGGGACUCAUCAUGGGCUGCACCCAUCUUAAGGGGACCCCUUCAUUUCUUCUCUGCAUCCAGUUUCCUUGGUGACAUUUUAAUCAGUUUGAACUGGAAAGAAGUCUUCCUCUCGUCACCCUCUGAAAAUAUUUAAUUGUUAAACUUCCUUUUAAAAAAAAUUUUGCUGCUUAAUGUUUCAGUAUUUCUAAACAAACCAAUUUUACAGACAUUGCGUCCUUAAUGGGACCUAAUUAUGGGAGUGUUCCAGCAAAGAUGCAGGGGCUGCGGGGGUCAUUCAGGAAGUUGCACGUUCCCCAGGAGGAGGGGCUGCAGGAGGAGCUUGGAGGAUUCUUACAUCAUUACACACCAUAAUUACACGUACUUUUACUAGGGGCUGUGAAAAUGCUUUCUUACAAAUAAUUAAAUUCAGCACAACCAGAACUGCAUUGAGAAGAUACAAACCUUUCAGAAAAGCAACAAAAUCAGCACCUGUGGAUUAAAUCUUUACAGUCACCUUCAUUAGGCCUCAAUCCAUCCCCUCUAUUCACUCUCUCCUGAGAGGGAGCAGAAGAAUUCCCCUACAGUGACAAUGGCUUCAGUCAGAAAACCUACAUCUGAGCCUCAGAUCUGCUAUAUAUCCUGCGGUUGGAAUUUGGUGUGAGUUAUUUCCCCCGAGCUUUAGUUUUCUUAUCUGUAAAAUGCGGAUCAGAGGAACAUAAGGCUUGGCAGAGCUAGGAGGAUCAAAUGAGAUGAUGGAUGGAAGCAUGCUUUACAAACUAUGAAAGGCCAGAUACACUACUCAGAGAUUUAGCCUCUCUUGGAGAAUGUACUGGAGGAGCCAGAGGCCCAGAUGCCCAGGCCAGUUGCCUGCCAGACAAACUGGAACCCUCCACCGAGGGUGUUCUGUCUGCCCAUUGCCGAACAAACCUAACACUUCUCUUACAUUUCAGGGCCCACCGUGCUCUCAGAGACCCAUGGUCAACUGUCCCAGUAUUUCUAUUUUCACUCUCCUUUCUAGUGACUGGAGACCUGUAAGAUGGGUAUUUCAGAAAGCCCAAUGUCUGGGUCUCUGGGCCACCAGCUACACCAUCAAGCCUCUGACUUAAAAGUAAAAUUAGAUCAUAUGAUGGGUGACUCGUUGAAAUUAACCUGUAAUGUUUUUGGUGAAAUCUUUUAUUGAAUAAUCAUAUAAUAACCCUUCACUACAUAUUUCUUGAAUAAAAUGAUUGAUUAGAGGUAUUUUAAAAAAAUAAUUUGGGAGUAUAAAUAGAGAUUUUGUUGGAACAUUUUAAACUUAAUUCUGUGAAUGUCCUCUCCUUCCUUAAACUGGAACCUGACCCCUGUUGGAGCAAGAAAGCAGGAUCGUGAUAUCCAAGCUGCGUAUGAUUAGAGUGCCCAAGUGGAUACUGUGCUAGUCUCCAUGUGCCAUUCUCAGCCCAGGAAGACUUGCUUGUGGUCUCAGACAUGGCAGAGUCAUUGAGGUUUAAGUGUAUGUGUACAUGUGGACAAGAUCAUUGUCUUUGGUGGGGCGUGCAGAAAAGGUUAUGAUCAUCUUUGCCCUCAGUGGGUGCUCCACUCCACUCCCUGGAGUCAUUCAGAGCUGUGGUCAUCUGGCCACUACUGGCAGAUUCUACCCAUGUCCCAUUACCUGCCUCCUACAAUGCCUGUGGCUUGUUUGUUAUUGGCGUGAAUAACGAUAACUCUCCAUUGGGAUACAACAUGACUUACUGAGACCCCUCUAGAAGCCAUUAAAUGGACCCAGGGACCUAUAAAGACAAUGAAGGAAUGCAGACCAUGGUCCAGUUGGUACUUUGGGGAGCCAGUCACUUUGCAGAAAUGCCAUUGUCGCAGUGUGAACAGAGCCCACUGAAAGAAAUCGAGAAACUGAAAACAAUAAGUGGCGUCUUCCAACUGAAGGAGAAGAGCUGGGACAGACAGAGCAGGCUGCGGUGGGGUUCUGCUGAUGGGCUUCCUGUGUGGCUGUGUCGCCGGGCCAGUGGGUGCCACAGCCAGACCUCCUUGCUCCACUGCAGGCCCUACUGAAAGAUCUAUCUAGUUCCUGCUUUUCUCAAGACAAAAGCUCAUUGGCAACUGGAAAUGAUUUUGUAGUCAGUCAUUGCUGACAUUUAAAGGGUUUUGCUGCUGAAGUCAUUUGGCACAAUGGCAAAGGACCCUGGUCCUUGGGACGGUACUGGUGCCACCUUCUAGCUGGAGGAAAUUGGGAGCCUCGCUGGCCUCUUUGAGCCUCAGUGUCCUUGUCUCUAAAAUGGGAAUAACAAUAACUGCAAGAGUAAUCAUGUCAUAAGGUCAUCGUAAGACUGAAUGGAAUCAUCCACAAAAAUUACCCCGCAAAUGCUAAGUGUUCAAGAUAUUUUGCUAUCUCUGUUCUGAAGAACAUUACAGGUAUUAAUCACAUUUUUGUCUUCAUGGUGAUUUUAUAAGUUUGUAAUUAUUAUGACUAUUUCGGUGAUGGGGAAAUCAGUGCUCUGGGAGGUCCCAUAACUUACUUGCGGUCACUGAGCAGCCAGGAGUGGGGCUGUAGAUGAUCCCAGCCUCUCACCCCAGCCUUCAGCCCUUCGGGUGUAAAUCAGCAUUUCAAUUUGCCAAGUCACUCCCAGAGCUCACUAAACAAAUCAACAUGGCUAUCUCAUCCAGUGCUGUCAAUAUUGUGGGCACUAGUCACACGUGGCCACUUUUAAUUACGGUUAAAUCAAGUUACUUAUGGCUGGACUGCAUUGGCUAAGGCAGCCUUUCUGUCAGCUCAGCGAGUUCUCUUGGACACUGCUGAUCCCUUCUCUGAACUCUACCUAUUUCUCCUUGUGCAAAACCUUCCUUUGAGUCAGAGGCAGAGUCUGUUUCAUCUAAACCAGCCCACUGGGAGAAAGGAGCGUUUCUCAAUCUGUAGCCAGUCUGAUGGCAAAGACAGCUGUGUUCCAGUUUUGACCAGAAGGAACAAAAUCCUGCCAGGGCAAAAGGGAAAAUUCACUCAUCAAGUAUUGUUUAAAUUAUUUGAAAACAUACUGCAUCUGUUUAAUGUUUAAAGCCAAAGAAAGUGGCAAAGUAACCGAGCAUGAGAUAGCUUUCAAUAAAUAAUCAUGGAAUAAAUAGGAAUAUUCGCAUGGGAGCCCUGCAAAUGCACGAGUAGUUUGGUGCCAA